ACCUGCUCUUCUCUCAUGCCCGGAGCUCCCUGAGUUGAGGAGGAUUUGCUGGGCUGUGACAAGUGGAAAACGGGAGCCAAGCCACAGAAAUAGAGGCUCAGUGACUGCAUUGGCAGGACACAAGGAUGGGAAGGGAUCUGUGCUGGCCUGCUCCAUCCCAUGGACUGAAUGCAGGAACACCACCUCCCUUUGUGCAGGGCUCUGGGAGGCCAAGGUGGAAAAGGCUCUAAUGGAAUUCCUGCAGGGACAGUUUUCCCUGGCUCAGUGGGAGCUGUUUGCACACAGACGCCACGGAGCAAGCUGCUAGGUGUUUAUUAACUAAGCUUGCAAGCGGAGGGGAAGGGCAGAGGAAAACUGCUGAGGGGGAAAUGCCGGUUAAAAAGACAGACGACCACCCCCUGCUGUCCACCGGAGCUGAGGGAGCCUCAGCUGAGCGAGGUCCUUGUAACCUGUCUGCAGCAGAAAGAAUGAGAGCCCUCUUGCCAGAGUGGCAGGAGCUGCUGGUUAAAACGGAGAGUGGAGCCCAGACACCAGUCCCUCACCGUGACUUAGACGGAUAAUUAGUCAGGAAAAGCUGUUUCAGACAGAGCAGAUCUCACAGAAGAGUGGAUUCACUGAGGAAGAUUUUCCUGCUGCAGAAUGUUUAGACAUUUCCCUGGAAAGUAGAAAUGCCUCUGACAAAAGGAUAGAUGCUAUGCCACAUGUUAACUCAAUGCUACACACAAGGAAUUCUGCUGGAGAGCCCUGGAGGUUAUCUGAUAUAAUUACACAACAUUCAAGUGCAGGAGUGCAGGAAGAAGUGAUAAAAUCAAGAACAGCUUUAAUGAGGCUAGAAAAGGAAGAAAAAUGGAGUCAACUCAGGGGAACUUCAAGGUCCUUUUGGUGCUAUUCAAGCAAAGAAAUGGGAAUACUGCUAAAACAGAAGAAGCUGGGUGGAGUCAGAAGGUUGAUUUGGAGCUAGCAGAGCAUUCAGUGGUUUCAGCAGGGAGCCUUAAAAUUAGAUGUUGUCAGAAACACAUGGAGAUUGAGAUUGCAUUCACCAGACUUCAGCAAUUCCCUGCAGUCCUGGGUCCUGCCUGGGUUUGGGAAGGCAACUAAAAAGUCUUCUGUACAGGUUGGUGCUGAGACUAAGCAGAUUAAAAAAGGUAGUAGGACAAGGUUUUAAACUGAAAGAAGGUAAACUCAGAAGGUAAACUAGAUAUAAGCAAGACAGUUUUUUAUGGUGAGGGUGGUGAAACACUAGAACAGGUUGUUCAAAGAGGUGACUGAUGCCCAUCCCUGGAAAUACUUAAGUGCAGGUUGGAGGAGGCUCUGGACUACCUGAUCUGUUGAAGAUGUCUCUGUUCACUGCAGGGGGAUUGGACUACAUGACCUUUGGAGGACCCCUUUCAACACAAACAAUCCUGUGGUUCUAUGAAUCUAUGAUUCUAUCGACUUCAGUCCUAUUGCCCAGAUCCCGUAGAAAUGGAUUUUACUUGUGAAGGAGGGCACUGAGUUUAAAUGGCCAAGACUGAGAUGAAAAACAGCCUCAAUGAAAGACUGAAGCAGUUCCUUAAUUUGUGUAAGAUUCAGGAAACAGGGAUCAGUCUGUGACAAUAUAACCAAACUCUUUUUCUGUAGAGCAAGAUUUUAAUAAGCUGCAAACCACAGGAACAGAGACUCAAAUUGGCAAAGAUGCUUUUAUAACAUUUUCAGUCUUGAAUAUAACCUUGUAACUGGAAAUUAUUGUAGUCAAUAAAUCUAGGAAUUACUUCAGAAAUUAGAUUCACAAGAUUGUUGGGAAUGUAAAACUAGGAGAAUGUCUAAAGUACCAUUUAUGUUUGUGUCAUAUCCCUCAUAAUUUUGAAAUAGUUAUUAAAAAUGCAUACAAGAAUAUGCAUAUAAAAUAUGCAUAAAAUAUAUAGUAUGUAUAAUACUUUUGUGCAUUACAUAUAUUUUGUAUACUUAUACAUACUAUCUAUAUAUAAUAUAAUCACAUGGAAUUGUCAAAGCUUUAACACCCAAACAUCAUAACGUAUACAUUUCUUAGUAAUUUUAAAAUUUUACUAGCUAUCUUUACUCUGUAUUUUAUGUCUUGUCAUAAAUUAAGAGAUAUUUAAAUCCUUAUGAUAGGUGAUUCACACAAUAAAACUUAUAUU